rfam:Gossypium arboreum cultivar AKA8401 contig_37679_3, whole genome shotgun sequence.
UGUUUAAAAUUUCAUCCAUUUCUAUUGUUAAAAAUAGGUGUAGCUAACAGAAUAACCAAAAAAUUACAUGUGAUGUGUCACAUGUACAAUGUACCUCAUGUUGACAUACAAUGACCAAUUUUUAACAAUAAAAAUGGAUGAAAUGUUUAACA